rnacentral:rRNA from 1 species
GGAGGGGGCUAGCGUUGUUCGGAUUUACUGGGCGUAAAGGGCGCGUAGGCGGUAUGCCAUGUCAGGGGUGAAAGGCCUGGGCUCAACCCAGGAACUGCCUUUGAAACUGGCAAACUAGAGUCCGAUAGAGGAUGGCGGAAUUCCCAGUGUAGAGGUGAAAUUCGUAGAUAUUGGGAAGAACACCAGUGGCGAAGGCGGCCAUCUGGAUCGGCACUGACGCUGAGGCGCGAAAGCGUGGGGAGCAAACAGGGAUUAGAUACCCUGGUAGUCCACGCCGUAAACGAUGUGUGCUAGACGUUGGGGGCCCUUAGGCCCCUGAGUGUCGCAGCUAACGCGUUAAGCACACCGCCUGGGGAGUACGGCCCGCGAAAGGUUAA